rnacentral:lncRNA from 1 species
GUCUGUUUCUCUAUUACUCUUUUGCAUUCUUUUUUCCAACCUAAACUUUUUCUCCUCCCUCUUCGACUACUUUGUUGAUUGCUAUGCUAAUUAUUUCACUGACUGAUAUAUCGACUACUUCAUUAAUUGAUACAUCGAUUGCUUCAUUAAUUGAUACAUUGACUGCUUCAUCAACUACCUCUUCAUAUUCCACAUAAACAUGAAAAAACUCUAUUAUAUCCAAUGCAAGCUCUAUCAUCACUUUAAGCUAUCUAUCUUCAAAUAGGAUCCUUAUUCCUUGAUUAUCAGUCAUUGAUCACAUCCU